AUAAGGAAAGUAGGGGGAAAAAAAACAGCUGUGGAAGAAAAGAAGGACGCGAAGAAAGGGGAGCUGAAACCUGACACUCAGGAACUCAAGACGUCUCUGAACUGAAAAUUUGCCAGCCUGGAGAGGCAACUGGUUCUAAUCGAAGCCUUCAUUAAUGCUUCAUAUGCUCAGCCCCUAAUUUACAGCCAUUUAAAAGCAAACAUUCUACAAGUACCUUUGGGGACCUCUGAGGAUGGAAAGAAAUCGUCGAGAAAUUAGGAACCUACAGAGCUCCCCUCGAAGGCAAGAGCCCUUUCGUGCAGGGUGCACAUGCAGAGGAACUAGGAAAGCCUCAUCAACUCUCAUACCGAAACCAAGACGCUGAGAGGACCCUGUGUGCUACGACUCUUCGCCACCCUGACUCAGAACUGCAGCCUUAGAACAUAACUCGGCUUGAACAAAGACCCUCCUUCCCAUCACUCCCCCAGCUCCCCAACCCCCUUCCCCUUCAUCUGCCUCCCCCCCACCCCCAGCCACAUUAACUACUCAGAAACACAGUCACUCCACUCUAGAGUUACUCAGGAAUCACAUUCUUAGAAUAACUCAUCAAUUAUACCUGUCAACUUGCCAAAAGUGCCACAGGGGAGGUGGAAAGUCUAGACUGCAUCUAACUGCAGCGGCAAGCACCCCUGUUCGCAGAGGGCCCCAACUUUGCAAAUGGCCUUGACAAGCUCACAAGAAACAAGAAGCCAAGAAAAUGCAGGAGUGCCGGGCUGGAAUGCAGACCCUAUCACCAAGUUCCUCUUGGGCCCAGGGUAGGGCACGGUUCUCCCCGUUUCUCUGCUUGCAGACUAGGAAAAUCUGUACCCGUCUGCUAAAGGGAUGUUCCGUACAAAAAGCCUGGGUUAGGAAAUGGUGAAAAGAAAUGUCACUAUGACUUAAAUAUGCACACAAACUCACUGUCAAUAAAAGUGGCUGCCAAGAAAGCAGUGCCAUGACAGACAUACUUUUUAAUGAAUUGGCAAGAAUCAUUAGUAAUUAAAACAUUUAUUGUAUGCAAAUGAAGCUGCUAAAUCUUUGGAAAGUUUAUUCUGCUAAGCAGGAUAAAUAUCCCCACAAACAUUGUUUAUGCGGCUAAUAUAGUUAGAAAGACCCCCUUUGUUCAUCUGUAAAGAGGUAAGCUUUCACUCAACAAAGCCUGAAAAGAAUCAGAAUCCAAGUUAUCUGAGGCCCUAAUGAAUAAGGUGGUCCCUUGAUUCCAAAACUCUUUGUCAAUAAAGCUAUUCUGCAAAAGUCA